GACGUAGGGCGCGAGCGUUGUCCGGAUUUAUUGGGCGUAAAGAGCUCGUAGGCGGCUUGUCGCGUCGACUGUGAAAACCCGCGGCUCAACUGCGGGCUUGCAGUCGAUACGGGCAGGCUAGAGUUCGGUAGGGGAGACUGGAAUUCCUGGUGUAGCGGUGAAAUGACGCAGACGUAUCAGGAGGAACACCGGUGGCGAAGGCGGGUCU
rnacentral:rRNA from 1 species